AACCCAAACUCGAUCUCAACUUUUCCCUCUCUUUCUCUCUCUCUCUCUCUCUCUCUCUCUCUCUCUCCUCUCCAUCUCCCAACUCCCUAAACCCUUCCUCCAUUCCUCGCCUCUCUCUCGCUCCCUCGCUCCCCCUAUCCAGGCCCAUCCUCACGCUCUCUCGCCUCCGACCCGCUACCCCCUCUCACGCCCUCUCGCCUCCGACUCGGCACCCCCUCUUACGCCUUCUCACCUCCGACCCGCAACCCCCUCUCACGCUCUCUCUCGCUCAAUCUGUAGGAGGCGAGUUGUAGAAAGUGAGUCCCUCUCUCCAGGCCCAUUCUCACGCCCUCUCGCCUCCGACCCGCCACCCCCUCGGC
rnacentral:lncRNA from 1 species